GGGCGUAACUCCUAGAAAAAAAAUUGAAUCGCAAUUUCCCGUCGAUAUGCACAACUACAUAGUAUGUCCUUAUUAUCUGAAAAGGUUUCGUGAAAUUCUGUUUGUGGUUUGAGAGGAGUUGCGAUGACAAACUGUUGCAGUAGUACAUUAAAGUAAAUAAGUUCAAAGGGGCGUAACUCCUAGAAAAAAAAUUGAAUCGCAAUUUCCCGUCGAUAUGCACAACUACAUAGUAUGUCCUUAUUAUCUGAAAAGGUUUCGUGAAAUUCUGUUGUGUGGUUUGAGAGGAGUUGCGAUGACAAACUGUUGCAGUAAUACAUUAAAGUAAAUAAGUUCAAAGGGGUGUAACUCCUAGAAAAAAAAUUGAAUCGCAAUUUCCUGUCGAUAUGCACAACUACAUAGUAUGUCCUUAUUAUCUGAAAAGGUUUCGUGAAAUUCUGUUGUGUGGUUUGAGAGGAGUUGCGAUGACAAACUGUUGCAGUUAGUACAUUAAAGUAAAUAAGUUCAAAGGGGCGUAACUCCUAGAAAAAAAAUUGAAUCGCAAUUUCCCGUUGAUAUGCACAACUACAUAGUAUGUCCUUAUUAUCUGAAAAUGUUUCGUGAAAUUCUGUUGUGGGGUUUGAGAGGAGUUGCGAUGACAAGAAACAGGACUGACGGACUGACGGACGGACUGACUGACGGACGGACGGGUCAAAAACAUUAUAACCUCCGCAACUUCG
rnacentral:lncRNA from 1 species